rnacentral:rRNA from 1 species
AUUGAACGCUGGCGGCAUGCCUUACACAUGCAAGUCGAACGGCAGCACGGGAGCAAUCCUGGUGGCGAGUGGCGAACGGGUGAGUAAUAUAUCGGAACGUGCCCAGUCGUGGGGGAUAACGCAGCGAAAGCUGUGCUAAUACCGCAUACGAUCUACGGAUGAAAGCGGGGGAUCGCAAGACCUCGCGCGAUUGGAGCGGCCGAUAUCAGAUUAGCUAGUCGGUGAGGUAAAGGCUCACCAAGGCGACGAUCUGUAGCUGGUCUGAGAGGACGACCAGCCACACUGGAACUGGGACACGGUCAAGACUCCUACGGGAGGAAGCAGUGGGGAAUUUUGGACAAUGGGCGCAAGCCUGAUCCAGCAAUGCCGCGUGCAGGAUGAAGGCCUUCGGGUUGUAAACUGCUUUUGUACGGAACGAAACGGCGAGCUCUAAUACAGUUUGCUAAUGACGGUACCGUAAGAAUAAGCACCGGCUAACUACGUGCCAGCAGCCGCCGUAACAC